rnacentral:rRNA from 1 species
AUGUACACGUCGUGUACCUCGGCAACCUUCAAGCGGAAGCCUGGCGAGGGAGUCGGCCACGACCUGACUAACCACACAAGUCUCUCGUCCAGGUUUAUCGCCUAUUCGGGUUCCAUCCGCAAGGAGAUCCGGCCGGGGUGUCGCUCACGGCCCCAAACGAUGUGUGCAGGGUUCCCAAGCCCACCUCGACGGAUGGAUCUACGCUUGGUACACCAUGCCACGGUGCCUAGUCUGUCCCAAGCCCACCUGUAUCGGGUACCACUUGGUAGACUACUAACACAACCUACAAACACCAGAAACUAG